rnacentral:ncRNA from 1 species
CGACCCCAAGUCAGGCGGGAUUACCCGUUGAGUUCAAGCAUAUCAAUAACCGGAGGAAAAGAAACUUACCAGGAUUCCCCUAGUAACGACGAGCGAAUCGGAAAAAGCCCAACUUGAGAAUCGGGCACCACCGGCGUUCGAAUUGUAGUCUGGAGAAGCGUUCUCAGUGGCGGAUCGGGCCCAAGUCCCCUGGAAAGGGGCGCCGGAGAG